rnacentral:tRNA from 1 species
GCCGAUGUAGUUCAACGGCAGAACGGAUCCUUGGUAAGGAUCAGAAGGGAGUUCGAUUCUCCCCAUCGGCU